CACCUUACUCUGCACUGAUAGAAUGGAGGCAGUCGGCGCAGUCUGCCAUGCCUAUAAGGAGAUUGGGGAGUGGGUUUUAGAAGAAGCAAAAUGGUGAACGUGCAAAUGUCUUGUAGGUGUGUCCAACAUGACAAGAGAUUGCCCUCCUAGAUCAUGAAGGGCAUUUCUUUAUUAGAGAGGCAAGGCAAGCUUGUUUCCUACUGCAUCUCAGUUUACUUAAGAUCAGACACAUUUGGAACUCAGGUUAAGGAUUAGAGCCUAACAAACUCAAGUUUUCUUAUGUGAGCCAGAGCAUGCCAGGCUGUCUUUGUCUACACGGACUGGGUCUCUCCAGCUGCACUGUUUCCAGGUUGCUUCUGAGAUGGUGUUAACAAGGCCUACACGUCUACACAGUGUAGAUGUGAAACAAGCAGUGUGGACUAUUGAGCCCAUAUCUGUCUCUUUAGCUACACCCAUAAAUCAGAUAGGAAUCUCUGGCAUCAUUGUCAUUUCUGAAUAGAAAACUAUGCUAGAAGGAAAUCCAUGUAGCACAAACUCUUUUAGUAUAAGAUAAACU
rnacentral:lncRNA from 1 species